rnacentral:rRNA from 1 species
CCUACGGGAGACAGCAGUGAGGAAUAUUGGUCAAUGGACGAGAGUCUGAACCAGCCAAGUAGCGUGAAGGAUGACUGUCCUAUGCGUUGUAAACUUCUUUUAUCAAGGGAUAAAACCAGGCUCGUGUGCCUUUUUGCAGGUACUUUAUGAAUAAGGAUCGGCUAACUCCGUGCCAGCAGCCGCGGUAAUACGGAGGAUCCGAGCGUUAUCCGGAUUUAUUGGGUUUAAAGGGAGCGUAGGUGGGUUGUUAAGUCAGUCGUGAAAGUUUGGGGCUCAACCGUAAAAUUGCAAUUGAUACUGGCAGUCUUGAGUAGAGUAGAGGUAAGCGGAAUUCGUGGUGUAGCGGUUAAAUGCUUAGAUAUCGCGAAGAACCCCGAUUGCGAAGGCAGCUUACUAACCUGUGACUGACAUUGAUGCACGAAAGUGUGGGUAUCAAACAGGAUUAGAUACCCGAGUAGUC